rnacentral:rRNA from 1 species
GGUGAGUAAUGCAUAGAUAACGUACCCCGGACACCGGGAUAGCUGUGGGAAACCGCAGGUAAUACCGGAUGAUGUCUUUGGAUCGCAUGGUUCAAAGAUCAAAGGUUUCGGUCGGUCUGGGAGCGGUCUAUGUCGUAUCAGCUAGUUGGUGAGGUAAAGGCUCACCAAGGCAGCGACGCGUAGCGGGACUGAGAGGUUGACCCGCCACAUCGGGACUGAGACACUGCCCGGACCCCCACGGGGGGCUGCAGUAACGAAUAUUGCGCAAUGGGCGCAAGCCUGACGCAGCGACGCCGCGUGUAGGACGAAGCCCCUCGGGGUGUAAACUACUGUUCGGGUGACGAAAGGCAGUUUCGGCUGCUUGAUCGAUCCCGGAGGAAGCCACGGCUAACUUCGUGCCAGCAGCCGCGGUAAUACGAAGGUGGCAAGCGUUGUUCGGAAUUACUGGGCUUAAAGCGCACGUAGGCGGAAAGUUAAGUGUCUUGUGAAAGCCCCCGGCUUAACCGGGGAACUGCAGGGCAUACUGGCUUUCUUGAGGCAAGUAGGGGUGCAUGGAACUCUGGGUGGAGCGGUGAAAUGCGUAGAUAUCCAGAGGAACGCCAGAGGUGAAAACGGUGCACUGGACUUGUACUGACGCUGAGGUGCGAAAGCGUGGGGAUCGAACGGGAUUAGAUACCCCGGUAGUCCACGCCGUAAACGAUGUCUACUAGAUCGUGGGAGUUCUGACGCUUUCACGGUCGAAGCAAAAGUGCUAAGUAGACCGCCUGGGGAGUACGGUCGCAAGGCUAAAACUCAAAGGAAUUGACGGGGGCUCACACAAGCGGUGGAGCAUGUGGCUUAAUUCGAAGCAACGCGAAGAACCUUAUCCUGGGUUUGACAUGUACGGAUGCCUGCCUCGAAAGGGGAUUUGGCUGCCUUCGGGUGAAACGUACACAGGUGCUGCAUGGCUGUCGUCAGCUCGUGUCGUGAGAUGUCGGGUUAA